rnacentral:rRNA from 1 species
UACGUAGGGUGCGAGCGUUAAUCGGAAUUACUGGGCGUAAAGCGUGCGCAGGCGGUUCGUUGUGUCGGUGGUGAAAGCCCCGGGCUUAACCUGGGAAUGGCCAUGGAAACUGGCGAACUGGAGUGUGGCAGAGGGGGGUGGAAUUCCGCGUGUAGCAGUGAAAUGCGUAGAGAUGCGGAGGAACACCGAUGACGAAGGCAGCCCCCUGGGCUAGCACUGACGCUCAGGCACGAAAGCGUGGGGAGCAAACAGG